CCCACCUGUGCCCAUUCUUCCUUCUCUCAGGAAGCAGGCCACGGCCAUUGUCUAUUGUUCCCCAGCUGGUCACACCAAUUGCCGGAGAAGAAGCCACAUGCCACAGCAAGCAAGGAGAAGGUGUCGGGGCUACAAACUUCCUGGGAAAAGUCCCUCUUUGUUUAGAAGGGAUGCCGGUUCCUUUCUAUGUUUCCAUUAGAGAACAAAACAGACACUUGGCCCAGAAGAGUGUGGGAUGAGAUGGAAACACAGAGGCUCAGAGAAAUGAGGUUGUCAGAGGUCACAUUCUACUUGGUAGAAGAGCCAGGACUCAAGUCCAGGCCACCUGGCCUUCCAACUACAACCACACCCCGUCUUGUGCAGUGAAAGCAGCAAAGGGGGUCUAGCUCAUGAUGCGGCUGCAGGAAUUGAGGCGGGUCCUCAGGCAUUAGGACCAUCUGCUGAAGCCCACACAGGAGGCAGAGGGGGGCCGAGUCAGGUUCCCCCAACAGUAAAUUCACUCAUUUGCACACACACCAAAAACCCUAAAUUGGAUUUUGUUUUUAAAUAAUUUGAUUACAUUUACCUAAUUAACACAAAGCUUGACAGUUGACUUUGCUAAUUCAAUUCUCCCAUCUGCCACUUCAGAAGUAACUGGUGAGGCCAAACAACAGAUAGAAUUUCUCCACCUCGGAGCGCACACGUGGUGUGGGUGAGGCCAGUGCACCGAACGGGGCAGAGUUGGCAUCAGCUGGCUCUACCACGUCCUUUGCCACCUGGUAAUGGUACACACACCCUGCAGGUCCCAAACCCAGGCAGCCUUUGGAGAAGACACUCGUUUGGGGAUCAGCACAAAUGAGGGUAUCCUGUCCUCUUCCUGUGUCUGCAGAAAUUCAGUCGGCUUUAUUCACAUCACAUCCUCAGGGGACAGUUUCCCAUGAGGCAGCAACUAGGGCUUUGGACCCAGCUGGGCAGAGGGGGUGGGGGCCCAUUUUCCAACGCUCAAGCAGCCUCCCUGGUCCCAUGUCACCGUGUGUGGGGCUGUGCCAAGGCAAACCUCCCAAUCAAAACCAUAGCUUUGAACCUUCCCAGAGGUGUUCUAAUCUGACCUCCUCAUUUCACGGAGAACGAAACUCAGGGCCCACAAGUAGAUGCUGGACCUACUGGCCAGAACCCAGACCGGGCAGGUGCUUUUCAACCCUGCACCACAAUGGCACCUUCUAGGGGCAGCAGCACGAAUCUGAGCUGGUUCUGCCCAGCAGCUGAAAGACCACGAGCAGCCUCUCCUAGCAGGGCAGGGCCUAAGCCAUCCCUCACCCUCACCUCCACUCCCACCCAUCUUGAUCUGUCAGUGAGAAGGGCUGGGCACGUGCCUGCUUGGGCAGGGAUGGACACUCGACCCAAGAGACUCCCAUCCCUUGGCUGGCUGGUUCUGAAGACUGGAGAGGACAGAUGAGCUCUUUGUCCAGGGACCCUGAGAGCUGGGGGCACUCAGCCAUGGGAAUAUGAGAGCCACAGGAUCACACAGCCUGGGGGACAAGGCUGCCAUGUUGGGUCAGGUACUAAGUCAGCAAGCAGUCCUUGAAAUAUGCAAAAAGAAACCUGACCUUUGUUCCUUAUUUUGCAUCCUCAUGGAGCCUGUCUUGAGAUGCCUAUUGUAACUGUGCAAUAAACCCCCCUUUACUGAA